rnacentral:rRNA from 1 species
CGGACCGGCCGCACGGGUGAGUAACGCGUAUGUAAUCUACCUGUAACAGAGGGAUAACCGGAGAAAUCCGGACUAAUACCUCAUAGCACAUAUUAUUCGCAUGAAUUUUAUUGUUAAAGAGACUCGGUUACAGAUGAACAUGCGUUCCAUUAGCUAGUUGGCGGGGUUACGGCCCACCAAGGCAACGAUGGAUAGGGGUUCUGAGAGGAAGGUCCCCCACACUGGUACUGAGACACGGACCAG